GAGUAACGCGUGGGUAAUCUGCCUCACACAGGGGGAUAACAGUUAGAAAUGACUGCUAAUACCGCAUAAGCGCACGAGAGGGCAUCCUCAAGUGUGAAAAGCCGAGACGGUGUGAGAUGAGCCCGCGUCUGAUUAGGUAGUUGGUGAGGUAACGGCCCACCAAGCCGACGAUCAGUAGCCGACCUGAGAGGGUGAUCGGCCACAUUGGGACUGAGACACGGCCCAAACUCCUACGGGAGGCAGCAUG
rnacentral:rRNA from 1 species